GGGUAAGUCUUACACGACCAGCUCCCUUAGAAUUCCCCCAGGGUCGGAAGGCAGCAAGGGUAUAAGGUUGUAGCGGUGCGAUGUAAACAGCUUACCCUUU
rnacentral:SRP_RNA from 1 species